GGUCUGGUGGUGUAGUUGGUUAUCACGUCAGUCUAACAGCACAGAAUGUCAUCGGACGUUCUUCCUGGUUCACUGAAGGUCUCCGGUUCAAGUCCGGGCUAGAUCA